GUGGGUCCGUGAGUGUGGCUGUGGACAUGCAUGUGCGUGUCUGUGGGCACACGUACUCCAUGUCAGAGCCGUGGAGGUGCCUGGACCUGCAUGUCUCUGCAUCACGUGGUGAGAGCCAGUGUGCGGUUUCACUGUGGUGCAGGACAGGAGGGGAAGAGGACAAAGGGACCAUUGUACCAGGCUCCCAACUCCAACCCUCCUUUCCGCUGACAUCACGGCUGCCCUAAAUACAGCUGCCAGGCCCAUCCCCGGGACCUUCACCAUCCCUGGGCGCGCAGUGGCACGGCGCCUGCAGCUCCGGGGUCUGCUCUGCGUGCAGGACUCGCCUUUGUCUCCUCUGUGGGGAGAGGACUGGGUUCCCGUGGAUCAUUUUCAUUCAAAUCCAGAUGGAAUAUUCUAGAAAGAAAGGAGGCUUCUUUGGGAAUUUUUACUGUCGCUGCUCGGUUGGAAUCCUGGAUCCCUUCUGGGACCUGGACUCACCCAUCUCCCGCCAGGAUUUUCUAGAACUGGAAUAUGUGGCUGAGGGCUGCUGAGGGGGCACCCUGAGUCCCCAGUCGGCUGCUCCAAGGUUCUGUGGAAAUGUGUGUGGACUCAGGCCACGCUCGGAGGCUGUGCUUACGGUGAAGGCAGAGGCCGUGUACAGGACAACACAAGCAGGGCUCCAGUGGGACGGUGACUAUAGGGGUGACUUCGAGGUGGAAUCCUGCCCUGGUGCUGGUGAGAGGCCGUGUCCCUGUGUCCCCUCCUGACUGUGUGCACAGAAGGCACCAGGUCGGGCAGGGGCGUGGCAGCUGUGGACAAGGUGAGGAGAGGCCAGGCACGGCCACAUCGUGGGCAGGAUGUGCCAGGCCGUGAUGGGAAUGGCAGGAGUUUGGUUCCUGCAGAGGGGUCACUGCCCGGUGUCCCAAGGGGCACUGAGUGUGCCUGUGUCCUCCCCUGACACACACACACACAUGCACACACACAGAGGCCAGUGGCAGCUCCACGUCUCCCAGUCGCACCACCCUCCUGGCUGCUCGUCUGGGCUGCUUCCUCUCCAGCCUCAGCCAGGCUCCCAUGUGUGUCCCACAGCCCAGCGGGGGCGGAGGAGAGGCCCAAGAUCCACGGCUGGGAGGAGCAGAGGAAGGAAGGAGCUGGCCUCGCACACGCACCUGCCUGAGGCUGGGUUGGCAGUGGGAGACACAGGGGUCUCACGGGACAGGGGCAGAGGAGCAGCCCACGCCUCCAAACUGAGCAGAUUGUGUGUGAGGCCCUGUGCCAUCCAUCAGAUGAUGGCCCAGGAGGGAGGAGGAAAUGCCAAGGGAAAGCCGCAGGCCAAGAACCUGUUGGUCUGGGGCUGGAUGCCCAGAGCUACGCCUCAAAGCACAGACCCCGGGCCAGCACUGGGUCUCUGCCUACGCCUGUGGCCACUUAGGGACUCAGUGAACUCAUUAGGUAGCAGGUGGGCAUGGGGUGCCCAGCGAGGAUAGGGCAGACAGUGGUGGAGAGUUUGGAAACGGCCUUGACCAGUGCCUUGCCUAGAACUCUGAGAAGUCAGGCGCGGUGACACACACCUGCAAAGCCAGCUCUUAGGAGGCUGAAGCAGGAGGAUCCCUUCGAGCUCAAGGCCAGCCUAGACUAAAAGUAAGAUCCUGCUUUUAAAAAAAAUAAAAACAAAACAAACAAGUAAACAAACAAAAAGAACUGAGAGUGAACUCAGACAGGCAACAUCGUCCCCCAGCUCAGGGUUCAGUCUCCUCCUAUGGCUCCCCUAGCCCCUCAAGUGCACAGGUGCAGCCCCAUGGAGAGACAGCAGGUGAACCCGGGUCCCAGCAUGGGAAGAGGAUGGAGAGCCUGAGCCCUGACAGCUCCUCCUCUCACAGAGCUGCGUGUGCUGGGAAGGAGCCCCGGGGUAGAGUUAUGGGGGCUGGGGGGCUUCCAGCUGCUGAGAAGGGGCGAGUGGUGGCUGCCCGGCUCCUGUUCAAGUCUUCAUGCAGCUGCACCUGGAGAAGGGCUGGCACGGGGCCCUGCCUCUCUGCCGUCCCCCUUACCUGGGGUCCCUCUCGGGCUGACCUUGGGAGGAAGCUGUCACACGUGGUAUCGGAGACCUUGAGGAAGGCAGGGUGGGCUGAUUUGGGUGCAGCCACCUGGGCAAACACCCUCUGGCCUCCGCAGGGCUGGCUGAGCUCCCAAGGGGGGCUGUGGGGACCCCACACUGGUGACAGCGCUAAGCAUCCUGGGCAUUCAGCUAAAGCUCCAGGUGGCCCUGGACCUCCUGCUUUGCGAAUCCUCCCGAAGGCAGUGCACUCAGACAGGCCCGGGUUCUAUCCCGACUCUGACUGCAGCUCCUCUGUGACCUUGGGUCCCUCACUUUCUCCCUAGGCCUCGGUUUCCCAUAAACCUAUAGGAUUUAGCUAUAAAGUGGGGACCUCGACCCACCCAUCUGUCAUCAUCCAGUUCGCGUGAGGGCUGUGCGUAGCCGAGCUUUCCCUCUCCAGGGGAUCUGAGAAGACACCAAAUGCCUGGAGUCCAGAGGGCAGAGGGCAAACUGGGGGCCCCUAGGAACCCGGGAAGGCAGCACGGGCAGCGAGGACAGCGGGAGGCUGCCGAGGGAAGUGCGCCGGCAGCCAUAGAGGAGCAAGCAGUAGGUAUUUAUUCUGGGGGCCCUGGCUCCAGAACCCCCCAUCCUUCUGCUUCUUCCGAGCAAGUGGGGAAUAGCGGGGGAUCCAAUCGGACAGGAAUGGAGUCAGCUGAGGCCCAGGGUCAGCAGCUCUCUGAGAGGAGAAAGAAGAGGGAUGAGGUCCAGGCUGGAACUGGAGGCACAUGGGGAACACAGCGGCAGGCUGGGAGCCACGCAGAGCAUCCCACAGCUCUCCUGCAGGUAUAGCCAGGUCCCUGCUCCCCUUUCUUCUCCCCCCACUGCCGCCCCCACCUGGAGACAGAAGCCACCUUGCUUCUAGAAAUGACGCUGGCACUGCCCAGCCAGACCCACCUGGCCGGGCUUUCAGUGCUGGUCCAGGAUGAGGGGCACCUGGGCGCUGUCCACGCGGGGCGGCAGUCGCUCGCCUGUGCGCACGUUGAACAUGGGCAGGGUGGAAAGAGGCCGGGGGACCUCGCGCGUGGCCGCCAUCUGCCGCAGCUCCUCCGUGUUCCCAUGGAUGGUGCUGUGGUGGACCAUCUGGAUGCUGGGGGACAGGCCAGGAGUCAGCCCCAGGUCCACGCUGGCUGGGGGUGGGGCUCAAACACAGGAAGUGGGGCCAAGAAGUGAACAGGCUCUGGGUCCAGACAGCCUGGUUUCACGGCUGUUCCUGGCCAUGUUGGGUCUCAGUUUCCCCCACCUCCUAGAUUGCUAGGAUCACUACAUGAAAAAUGCGGCUUGGUAUUGGCAGAGCGGCCAGCACAGGACAGGUGCCCACGAGGUCCUAAUAUGGACAGAUUCCACCGUGUGUGUAUUUGGAGAGGCAUCUGCUCUGUGUGUGUGUGUGUGUGUGUGUGUGUGUGUGUGUGCGCGUGUGUGUGUGUGUGUGUGAGGCAGGAGAAUUGCCAUGAGUUCCAGGCCAGCCUGGGCCACAAAAUGAGAUCCUGUCUCAAAAGCAAAAACAAAAAAUUCCAGCCACGGUGGAGUCUGCGCUCUGCUCCCGGUGUGCCGGACCCCUGGUCCUGCCCCAGCACUGACCAGCUCCCAGCAUGGACUCUCCCUCCCUGUCUCUGUUUCACACCAGGACUCCUGAGCCUCAUUCCAAAUGAGCUGGGAAUCCCAGCAGCACCGAGCGCCAGGUGUGGUGCUCAGUCCUUCCUGAGCCCCCGAUCCAGGCCUCCGGCAGCUGUGGCAGCUCUGUAUCCUCAGACCACUUCCCACGCAGGGCCAAGCUCCCAGGAGAAGCCGAGUACAGGGUGGUCAAGAUGAGGACGCACCUUAGCCUUCGGAUCUGGGUUUGCUGCUUUCUGCUCUGUCACUUUGGGCCCAUUCCUUAAAUCUCUGUGCCUCAGUUUCCUCACAUGUAAUACAGUUGUGAACAAAAAGCGUUCAUCUAGGAGAAGCAUGGGAACAUUUCCUGGCUUGCCUGGCAGCCUCACUGCCAUCAUGAGAAGCUCCCGGUUGCUACGGCAUCAUUGAUGCUAUUUUCCCACAAUGAGCCCCCAGAACUUGGCCUCCGGGGAAGGUGUUUGCCAGCAUGAACCUGCCCGGCCUGAGGACGUGGACCUGUCACCAGGUCAGACAGAGUAGGGGCUUCUCACCAGCACCAGGAGAAGCUUUUUCUUAGAGGGGAGGAGGUGACCCUACUUGCCACUGUGGUUGCUGACCAGGCACAGAGGGGAAGCCAUCCCCCGCCUGCCUGUCCCAGAAGGGUCAUGUUCCUCCAGUCAGAGGGAGGAGGUGGAGUCACCAUGCAAGUCUAGGGGAGGAUCAAGAUGAGUUCCGGAGUCUGGAAUUCACACUCAGUCGCCCAGAUCAAUUUUCCAUUCCUCCAGGAGAGGGGGUUACGCAGAUGCUGAGGUGACGACAGCCCAGGAGGAAGGGGCAUCAGAAUCCUCCCCAGCCUUGGCCCCAAGCCCAUGGCUGGCCUCAGUCUCCAGGCUUCAGCCCGGAUGGGAAAACAGCUUGGGAGGUUUUCCUGGUGUGAGAGCAAACCCCAAACCCCAAGGCACCUCGUCCCAAGAAACCUGCACACGCCAGGCCCAGGCGUGACCUACACACACCCAACACACUCUAACACCCGCCUCACACACCCUGCCUCCGGCAUGCAGACCCUGGGACAGUGGCCCCCAGCCCCAGAAGGACUUCAUGACCAGUGCAGGCUGUAAAAUGCCAACUUGAAAAGUGGCAAACACUGAGCAAAGCAACAAAACUGAAUUUUGUCAAAUAAAUCAACACAAAACCCAAACCAACAAAGGCUGAUGCAGGCCAUGGCAAAGCUGGGUAUCAAUUCCAAACUGAUGUGGAGAGUGGAUUUUCCCAGCCAACAUCAGAGCCCCAACAAUGGACUCAGGAAGCUGGACCAGAUGAAAAUCCUAGCCACAGAGAAAACCUGUCAUGCACAAUGUACAACAGGCCACGCCUGGCACAGCCCCCCAGACCCAAGGAGUAAAAUCCUCUCUGUGAAAUUAAUAUGGAAAAUCAGUGAUCUGUGAAAUAAAAAUGAAAAUAAAAAGAUAAAAACGAA